UGGGGAAUUUUGGACAAUGGGGGAAACCCUGAUCCAGCCAUCCCGCGUGUGCGAUGAAGGCCUUCGGGUUGUAAAGCACUUUUGGCAGGAAAGAAACUUCAUGGGUUAAUACCCCGUGAAACUGACGGUACCUGCAGAAUAAGCACCGGCUAACUACGUGCCAGCAGCCGCGGUAAUACGUAGGGUGCAAGCGUUAAUCGGAAUUACUGGGCGUAAAGCGUGCGCAGGCGGUUCGGAAAGAAAGAUGUGAAAUCCCAGAGCUCAACUUUGGAACUGCAUUUUUAACUACCGGGCUAGAGUGUGUCAGAGGGAGGUGGAAUUCCGCGUGUAGCAGUGAAAUGCGUAGAUAUGCGGAGGAACACCGAUGGCGAAGGCAGCCUCCUGGGAUAACACUGACGCUCAUGCACGAAAGCGUGGGGAGCGAACAGG
rnacentral:rRNA from 1 species